rnacentral:rRNA from 1 species
AGAGCGAACGCUGGCGGCAGGCUUAACACAUGCAAGUCGAGCGGGCGUAGCAAUACGUCAGCGGCAGACGGGUGAGUAACGCGUGGGAACGUACCUUUUGGUUCGGAACAACACAGGGAAACUUGUGCUAAUACCGGAUAAGCCCUUACGGGGAAAGAUUUAUCGCCAAAAGAUCGGCCCGCGUCUGAUUAGCUAGUUGGUGAGGUAACGGCUCACCAAGGCGACGAUCAGUAGCUGGUCUGAGAGGAUGAUCAGCCACAUUGGGACUGAGACACGGCCCAAACUCCUACGGGAGGCAGCAGUGGGGAAUAUUGGACAAUGGGCGCAAGCCUGAUCCAGCCAUGCCGCGUGAGUGAUGAAGGCCCUAGGGUUGUAAAGCUCUUUUGUGCGGGAAGAUAAUGGACGGUACCGCAAGAAUAAGCCCCGGCUAACUUCGCGCCAGCAGCCGC